rnacentral:rRNA from 1 species
GAGGAACGCUGACGGCGUGCUUAACACAUGCAAGUCGAACGAAGCACUUUAUUUGAUUUCCUUCGGGACUGAUUAUUUUGUGACUGAGUGGCGGACGGGUGAGUAACGCGUGGGUAACCUGCCUUGUACAGGGGGAUAACAGUUGGAAACGGCUGCUAAUACCGCAUAAGCGCACGGCAUCGCAUGAUGCAGUGUGAAAAACUCCGGUGGUAUAAGAUGGACCCGCGUUGGAUUAGCUAGUUGGUGAGGUAACGGCCCACCAAGGCGACGAUCCAUAGCCGACCUGAGAGGGUGACCGGCCACAUUGGGACUGAGACACGGCCCAAACUCCUACGGGAAGCAGCAGUGGGGAAUAUUGCACAAUGGGCGAAAGCCUGAUGCAGCGACGCCGCGUGAGCGAAGAAGUAUUUCGGUAUGUAAAGCUCUAUCAGCAGGGAAGAUAAUGACGGUACCUGACUAAGAAGCACCGGCUAAAUACGUG